rnacentral:rRNA from 1 species
GAUGAACGCUAGCGGCAGGCUUAAUACAUGCAAGUCGAGGGGCAGCGGGGGUAGCAAUACCUGCCGGCGACCGGCAAACGGGUGCGGAACACGUACACAACCUUCCUAUAAGUGGGGGAUAGCCCAGAGAAAUUUGGAUUAAUACCCCGUAAUAUUAUUUAGUGGCAUCAUUAGAUAAUUAAAGCUCCGGCGCUUAUUGAUGGGUGUGCGUCUGAUUAGGUAGUUGGUGAGGGAACGGCCCACCAAGCCUUCGAUCAGUAACUGGUGUGAGAGCACGACCAGUCACACGGGCACUGAGACACGGGCCCGACUCCUACGGGAGGCAGCAGUAAGGAAUAUUGGUCAAUGGACGGAAGUCUGAACCAGCCAUGCCGCGUGAAGGAUGACGGUCCUCUGGAUUGUAAACUUCUUUUAUAUGGGAAGAAACCCGGGAAUUCUUUUCCGGUUGACGGUACCAUAGGAAUAAGCACCGGCUAACUCCGUGCCAGCA